rnacentral:rRNA from 1 species
GACGAACGCUGGCGGCGUGCCUAACACAUGCAAGUCGAACGGAGAUACGAUUUCGGUUGUAUCUUAGUGGCGAACGGGUGAGGAACGCGUGAGCAACCUGACUCUUAGAGGGGGAUAACACCCGGAAACGAGUGCUAAUACCGCAUAAGACCACGACAUGGCAUCAUGACGAGGUCAAAGCAGCAAUCCGCUGAGAGAGGGGCUCGCGUCCCAUUAGGUAGAUGGCGGGGUAACGGCCCACCAUGUCCGCGAUGGGUAGCCGAGCUGAGAGGCUGAUCGGCCACACUGGAACUGAGACACGGUCCAGACUCCUACGGGAGGCAGCAGUGGGGAAUAUUGGGCAAUGGGCGCAAGCCUGACCCAGCAACGCCGCGUGAGGGAAGAAGGCUUUCGGGUUGUAAACCUCUGUCCUUGGUGACGAAACAAAUGACGGUAGCCAAGGAGGAAGCCCCGGCUAACUACGUGCCAGCAGCCGCCGUAA